rnacentral:rRNA from 1 species
GCCGGCCUGAGAGGGCGACCGGCCACACUGGGACUGAGACACGGCCCAGACUCCUACGGGAGGCAGCAGUGGGGAAUAUUGCGCAAUGGGCGAAAGCCUGACGCAGCGACGCCGCGUGAGGGAUGAAGGCCUUCGGGUUGUAAACCUCUUUCAGCGGGGACGAAGCGAAAGUGACGGUACCCGCAGAAGAAGCACCGGCUAACUACGUGCCAGCAGCCGCGGUAAUACGUAGGGUGCAAGCAUUGUCCGGAUUUAUUGGGCGUAAAGAGCUCGUAGGCGGCUUGUCACGUCGGAUGUGAAAACUCGGGGCUCAACCCCGAGCCUGCAUUCGAUACGGGCUAACUAGAGUGUUGCAGGGGAGAC